UUUAAAAUGAGAGUUUGAUCCUGGCUCAGGAUAAACGCUGGCGGCAUGCCUAAUACAUGCAAGUCGAACGGAGGUGCUUGCACCUCAGUGGCGAACGGGUGAGUAACACGUAUCUAAUCUACCUUCUAGCGGGGGAUAACUUUUGGAAACGAAAGGUAAUACCGCAUAUGGAUAUUAUUAUCGCAUGAGAAAAUAUUCAAAGAUCCGUUUGGAUCACUAGAAGAUGAGGAUGCGGCGUAUUAGCUAGUAGGCGGGGUAAAGGCCCACCUAGGCGAUGAUACGUAGCCGAACUGAGAGGUUGAUCGGCCACAUUGGGACUGAGAUACGGCCCAGACUCCUACGGGAGGCAGCAGUAGGGAAUUUUUCACAAUGGACGAAAGUCUGAUGAAGCAAUGCCGCGUGAGUGAUGACGGCCUUCGGGUUGUAAAGCUCUGUUGUAAGGGAAGAAAAAAUAGGAGAGGAAAUGCUCUUAUCUUGACGGUACCUUACCAGAAAGCCACGGCUAACUAUGUGCCAGCAGCCGCGGUAAUACAUAGGUGGCAAGCGUUAUCCGGAUUUAUUGGGCGUAUAGGGUGCGUAGGCGGUUUUGCAAGUUUGAGGUUAAAGCCCGGAGCUCAACUCCGGUUCGCCUUGAAAACUGCGGAACUAGAAUAUCAGAGAGGUAAGCGGAAUUCCAUGUGUAGCGGUAAAAUGCGUAGAUAUAUGGAGGAACACCAGUGGCGAAAGCGGCUUACUGGCUGAUUAUUGACGCUGAGGCACGAAAGCGUGGGGAGCAAAUAGGAUUAGAUACCCUAGUAGUCCACGCCGUAAACGUUGAGUACUAAGUAUUGGGGAUUACCUCAGUGCUGCAGCUAACGCAUUAAGUACUCCGCCUGAGUAGUAUGCUCGCAAGAGUGAAACUCAAAGGAAUUGACGGGGACCCGCACAAGUGGUGGAGCAUGUGGUUUAAUUCGAAGCAACACGAAGAACCUUACCAGGGCUUGACAUCCAGUGCAAAGCUACAGAGAUGUAGUGGAGGUUAACAUUGAGACAGGUGGUGCAUGGUUGUCGUCAGUUCGUGCCGUGAGGUGUUGGGUUAAGUCCCGCAACGAACGCAACCCUUGUCGUUAGUUACUACCAUUAAGUUGAGGACUCUAACGAGACUGCUAGUGUAAGCUAGAGGAAGGUGGGGAUGACGUCAAAUCAUCAUGCCCCUUAUGUCCUGGGCUACACACGUGCUACAAUGGCCGAUACAAAGAGUCGCAAUCUCGCGAGGGGGAGCUAAUCUCAAAAAGUCGGUCUCAGUUCGGAUUGAAGUCUGCAACUCGACUUCAUGAAGCCGGAAUCACUAGUAAUCGCGAAUCAGCUAUGUCGCGGUGAAUACGUUCUCGGGUCUUGUACACACCGCCCGUCAAACCACGAGAGUUGGUAAUACCAGAAGUACGUUUCCUAACCGUAAGGAAGGCGCGUCCCAAGGUAGGACUAGCGAUUGGGGUUAAGUCGUAACAAGGUAUCCGUACGGGAACGUGCGGAUGGAUCACCUCCUUUCUAUGGAG
rnacentral:rRNA from 1 species